CCUCGGCCCAAUCCAAUCGCCCGCACUCUACAACCCUCCCUCUCUCCUCGAUCUCUCUCCCUCAGGCGCCACAAACCCUAGGUCCCUUUCCUACGAUCCCGUGGUCGCUGCCCCUGCUCCAUCCGACCUCCGUGGCGACCGAGGGCCCGAUCCGCGCCAACGCCGUGCGGGCGGCGGCCGGGGCGGGCGCGGAGAGGGCCGAUGCGGCGGCCGCGGGCGGGGCGGUGGCGGCCAAGGCCAGGGAGGACGAGGUCAGGGAGUACAAGAGUGACGUGCUGAACCCCUCCGCGGAGGAGUUCGUGCCGCUCUCCCGCCGCCAGGGGGCGGCGCACGCCGCCUGUCGGCCGACGCGCCCGUCUUCGUCUCGCCCGACUACUAUGCUGCUCCGUCCACCGACUCUGUCCGUGCAGGUGGCCAGUUUCCUUCCGCCCCAACCUUUUCCACUGUCUCCCUAGUUCAUCCUCCGUCCCUUGUUGCCCGAGAUUCUCAUCUUUUCAGGCAGCGAGGAAGCCACGUGAGGAGAGACCUCGUCUCGAGAAUCCCGGGAGGAGGGGCUCAACCAGAGAGGAGCAGAUGCCAGCCAGGUAGUCGGCUCGGCUCGACGCCGUCUUUCGUGUCUGGGCCGCGGCAGACCCUAGCGCCGUCCUUCAGGUGUCUUCACGGCUGCAGGAGUGUAUGUUCGAGGAUGUAAAUCCAUCUGAUAUGUUGUUGACAGGGAUUAAGAUUAUUGUAUUGACAUAUCUGAGAGUAUUGUACUGACAUAUCUGAGAAUUUAAUGAUCUAUUAGCAACUAGGUGUUAAGCUUCAGGCUGAUGUAUUGGUUGAGAUCGAGGAGAGAGUGAGCCGUUGCAGAGGAGAGGGUGGGCGGAGGUCAGGCAUUGCUAACAGAUUUGAGGAGGAGUGGGAAAGGUGAAGGUGAUGCCGGCCGGCUGGCGCCUCACCACUGGCUCCUGUUUUGCAGCGGCAAAGAGAACGGUGUUGAGGAUGUGUUGCUCUAUGCACGGCUGUCAGAAGUACAUCCUUGCUAUAAUGUAUUUUUCUGUGGCUUUCUCCAUUAGAAUAUUUCUCCUCAACGACCAUAUCAACCUGUCUGGUGUUUGCACAUGUCAUUUUGGUUGAGGUGUGUGCAAGAUCAUCCCUCUCUAAACUAUAAAUUUGUCUGUAUGUUUUGGUAGAUUUGAUUUAUGGGCGGCAAAGGCAGGCUGGCUGUACUACAAGGCGGGGUGCCAUUGUUAUUUUGGUUUUGGCUCAUGAACUUCAAAUCAGUUCUCCUAUGAAAGAAAAUCAAUCUGUGUAUGCAUGAUACUUGUUAAUACUUUAACUGCAGUUUAGGAUACAAAUGUGAUUACAUUAAUCAUUUGUUAAACAGGUUACCGCCAUUCCACCUCUUCCUCGUGAUGGUAUAGGAGUACAUACUAAUUCGAUAAACAAGAGGCAAAGUUGCCAACGCCUGAGAUAGUGGUUCCUACCUCUGGCCUUCGCACCUUUAGUUCCACAAGUAGUUAAGCAACUCAAAUGGUAAGAACUUCAGGGUUCUUUUUUCUCUUUCUUUCUUUCUUUCUUUCUUUCUUUUCUCUUGGGACUGUUUAUUCUCUGUUUGUAUAUAUUUCCUUUGAUUGAAAUAAAGGAUUGUGUGGCCUUUGCUCCACAUAAGGUAGUCAAAAGAAAGUACUUCCUCUAAUCCAUAUUAGUUGUCGCUGAUUUAGUAGUGUACUAAAUCAAUGACAAUUAAUAUGGAUCAGAGGAGGUAACAUGUAUUUUGUUAAAACUGCUUUAAGUAACUAGGGCCAAGUAACAUACUAUGUGAUUGUUGUGUGUGGUCGUGGCAUGUGAAUCUGAUUAAACCAUCAUAGUUGGAUAAUAGCAGUCUUGGGGAGGAAUACGAUGUGUGUUUCAGAUAUUUAAGAGCGGUUUGAUUAUGUUUCAAUUUCGAAGACAUGGUCGUGGCAUGUGAAUCUGAUUAGACCAUCAUAGUUGGAUAAUAGCAGUCUUGGGGAGGAAUACGAUGUGUGUUUCAGAUAUUUAAGAGCGGUUUGAUUAUGUUUCAAUUUCGAAGACAUGGUUUCGUGUUAUGCCUUAUAAGGUUGAGGCAUGUGCUAUAGAGGCAAGGAAGAUUACUUUGAUUUUGUUGAUUAUUAGGGUUUUUGAUAAUGCAACUUCUUUUGGAAUCUGUUAUUAGUGUUUUAUAUAUUGUUCCCCCAAACGUCCUUUUUUGUUUAGUUAUGUAUUGGCAACCGUUUCCUUCUUCCAUUGUAGUAAGUAGAAGUUAUAUAUUUUCCUGUCCAUGCCCUUCUUUUCCUAGGCCAGCAAUUUGCUUUCUCCUUGGUUUACAGUGGCUGCAGCCUCCUAUUUGUGACGUCGUAGCCCCAAAGGUAUCCUUCUCUCUAUACUGAAUCUGAUUCUUUGCAUUUUGGGUUUGGAUAUGUUUGCUAUUGCCAGCUCUAUUUGCACUUAAUCAAUAUAUGUGCGUGCACUUGUAGAAGUGAAAGAGAAAUUUGGAGGGCGAUAAAGGAAUAUACAUAAGGUCCUGAGGAAAAUGAUACUUGUACAUGGUUUGGAUUACUCGUGUUUUUUUAUUUUGACUGCAAAUAACUUCUCUUUUCAACACACUUAGUACGUGAUCUAGCAAUCACAUUAUAAUAGAGUAAGUGAGAAAAAGCUCUUUAUUUGAAUGACCAAGAAUCCGUGGUGUUCUCCUGAACUGCAAGGAACACUCCACUACGAAACUCACUUAAGCAGGUUGAUAGAUGAUACCUUGUCUUGAGCCUAUUUUCUCAAAAUAAUGAGAGGCUGAAUGAUUCAGACACAGGAUGAACUUUCUCACCUCAUCAUUUCAUUACAUUUUGAUUUCAUUGUGUGGUGUGCUUCGAUCUAGGUGAGUUGAGUUGCUGCUUGGUUGGAGAUGUUGAUGUCGUUCGAGACGCCCGCUGGAUUCACCCUUUUCAAGGUUCUGAAUAAGGGCUUGUCGAGCUGAGUGUUCGUCACCACCUUAGCUCUUGGUUUGGUUUGGAUUACUCAUGUUUUUUAUUUUGACUGCAAAAUAACUUCUCUUUUCAACACACUUAGUACGUGAUCUAGCAAUCACAUUAUAAUAGAGUAAGUGAGAAAAAGCUCUUUAUUUGAAUGAUCAAGAAUCCGUGGUGUGCUCCUGAACUGCAAGGAACACUCCACUACGAAACUCACUUAAGCAGGCUGAUAGAUGAUGUCUUGUCUUUGGUGAGCCUAUUUUCUCAAAAUAAUGAGAGGCUGAAUGAUUCAGACACAGGCUGAACCAUCUUUCUCACUUCAUCAUUUUGUUACAUUUGAUUACUGAUUCAUCAAGGAGUUGUUGUUCUGCGUUCACUUAUUUCCCCAAACUAUAUGUACGCAUCGCUCGCAAAAGAAAUCGAUUUAAAUCCUCUCCGAAAAAAUUUGGACUGUUGUAAGUUGAAAAAAUGCAUGUGUUCUGUAAGCACUUGAAUUGAAGGGCAAAAUGAAAAUGCAUGUGUUGGUAUGCUGUUGCUGGCCCAUAUAUCCCAAGACAGGGUAUACAGAUAGCUUUUGACCUUGCCAGAGCGUAAGUAGUUCAUUUGGUUAAUCUGUUUUGCGUUUUGACAUGCAUCAUUUGUUGCAGACUGCUAGAUCGAUGCUACUUCCAUUAUUAUUAUUUUUUAUUGCCUAAGCACCGAACAAGCACUCUUGCAUUGGAGGUGCCCUGAAUGGCUUCUACAGAUUUGUCCCAAUGCAAUUAGCAGGCUAGCAUAUUUGAAAAAUGAAAUUUUGAAUGACAUAUAGCAGGAUAUGCAUCUAUUCCUACUCCUAUCUUAUAUGGACAAAUAGAUCUAACAGCUGGCUUGCUUGCUUGCAGUGGUACAGGUGUGAUCUUCAUGGAGCUAGCCAUCAUUGGAUUUGGUAAUACAUAAUCACUUAUUCAGAGAGCCCAAGGUGAGAAGGGAUGAGCAUCUAGAACACCACCACCUACUAAUCAGUGAGCUACUAUCUGUAUUUCAAUGAGUUACUUAACAAGAGAAGGCAGGUAGCAAUAGAACACGUGCAAUUUCAAUGUUUACUAAUUAUCUAUUUCUGAAUUUAUUCGUUCCCAGCUGCUCUGAAUCUGGGUGUUUUGCUUGCUGCUUUGUAGGAGUUUCCUACCUUUCUUCUGCAAAUAUGGAAUGCCUUUAUGGCAUGAUCAUGUGAAAAAAGUACCUUGAUGCAGUAAUGGAUUUGAUUAUCACUGGUUACUCUGUUUUCACGAAUUACUAUCCAACUGUAAGUCUGUUCUAUACCCUAAGGCCCAUGUAAAUCUAAUAGAAGAUUAAGCUAUUUAAUUUUAACUAAAAAGGAUAAUAUUCUUUCAGUCGGUUGAAUCUGUCCAGACCUGAAAAAUACUUAUACUUUGAAAGCUUGAUAUAUGAGUAUGUAAUUUUACAGGUAUGUAGAUAGCCGACAAUGUUAUUGUUCAAAUGUACUCGAGCCAGGUUUUCGGUGUUUCAUUGCAACCAAAAGAAUUGGUAAUAUUGUUUUGAUGAAAACAUGGUCGCACUUGUCGGUGUUGUAGUGGCAUAGGAAUUUUCCCCCUAAGAUCCACUAUGAAGUUGAUUAAAAAGUCCAUUUUCCCUAAGAUCCACUAUGACAAUGAAAAAGAUUUCUGAAAACUGUGUCACCAUAAAUGUUCCAUCAUUGUCCAUAGUAGUCCCAUGCCAUAUUAAUUUCAGAAGAAUAAUUUCUUAUUCAGAUGUUCAUUGUGUUUUUAUGUACUGCUAUAUCUAAAAAAGCAAGUUUCAGCUAAAACCAGAGCCGUGGUUAAGAUACUCUUCGCACCUAGGAUAUGUGUAUAUGUUCAGAUUUCUAACUUUAAACUAUAGUUUUAGAAAAUGUGGUGCCCUCGCUUAUUUUUCUAAUGCAUGAACUGGGUAUGUUUUAUGUGUAAUGCGUGCUUGAUUUCUUUUUGGUUCUGGUGGAUUUUGAUUUUGUCCACCAUGCUUCUCUCCAAAGAGAUGAGUCUGUUUUCGCAGCAGCGGGUGAUGCAUGUGCUUAUUGUUGGCUGUUGCUAUGUGGUAUGCAUUUUCUCAUUGUUACUGUUUGUUGUUUGCUAUGAUUAAUAUACAUUGGCAUGUACAUUUUAUAUCAGUUUUGUUUUCAACACCACCUAUCACUGUAUAAUUUGUCGUUAAUAGAGUAGUUUCUCCUUUAUUGCAUUGCAUAAUGCUAGCAAGCUACAUUGCACCAUAAACAAAAAUAAUCCUCUUCCAAGGUUAAACCUGUUUUUUCCUUCUAGCAAAGAUCUCUGGAAAAGAUCAAUUCCGUUAGCCUAUAAUAUUGCAGUUCUUUCGUAUCCUUCAAAGAUUUAUAAAUAUUUUCUGUUUCCACUCCAUUCGUUCUCAUGGAUUCUGAAAAAAAUAUUUUUGUUUUUUGUUGAUUAAUAAUAUUGCUCUCCCUUCCAGUUUUGAGGUGGUCGAUGCAUGUAGAAUAUACAGACUUUCCUAGAAUGGUGCCUUUUAGUUUUUCUGCUUGAUGUUAGUUCAUUGAUGAGAACACCUAUGUACAUGAUUGCUGCAUGCAUGAUAUCCUAGUAUAUACUGAGAAAUAUUUUUGUUUUCCGGACAUUGUUUUCUAAAUCCUAUCAACAUAUUACCUGAUAUGGUCUUUGAAGUUUCUAUUUUAUAGCGACUCUCUGCACUGGUCAACUUGAGUAUGGUAUGGUUAUCUUUCCUUUUGUUUACAAGAGAUGUGUGGUAGAAGCUGUACUCACAGGAAGACUAUCAUGCUGUGUAUAAACCACGUUCUACGAUUCACUUCUGUCAUGCAUAUUUACUUUCCAGUUUUAGGACUGAAAUCCAUCCAUUGUAAUGAAUUUGGUUGUAUGGGCAUUACCUAUUUGACUUAGGCUUGCUUCAUCACAUAUAGACUGCCUUUUCUUUUCCCCGUUGCUUGUAUGACCUAAAACUAUCAUGUAUAUGAGGCAAGUUUUUAGCAAUGUUUCACAUUUUCUUACUUGCAAUACUGUGCUUGCCUAUUCAGGUGUUCCAAGACCCAAAUCAUCAGAAAAACAACACAUACAACACUUUUUUCUUUUGAACUUUGGUUACCCUUAUACAAGCCCCUGUUCAUUUUGUUUAUAUAGUGGUUAGAAUAGUAACCAUAUGUGCUUGCUCAAUACUGAUAGAUGGAAUAUUUUCAAAGCAUGUAUGGUGUGGGUCUGCAAUUUGGCGCAAUGGGAGAUUAUUGAAAAAUACACAUUUUUUCAACAUGACAUGGUCUUGAAAUGGGAGUCUACUAUCAAAUUAAAAUAUGUAGGUACAUCUCAUUGUAGACGACAAGUAUCUAUUUUUUUAUUAAAGGGGGUUAAAUUUGUUAUCAUA